rnacentral:rRNA from 1 species
AUUGAACGCUGGCGGCAUGCUUUACACAUGCAAGUCGAACGGCAGCGCGGGCUUCGGCCUGGCGGCGAGUGGCGAACGGGUGAGUAAUGCAUCGGAACGUGCCCAGUAGUGGGGGAUAGCCCGGCGAAAGCCGGAUUAAUACCGCAUACGACCUGAGGGUGAAAGCGGGGGACCGAAAGGCCUCGCGCUAUUGGAGCGGCCGAUGUCGGAUUAGCUAGUUGGUGGGGUAAAGGCUUACCAAGGCGACGAUCCGUAGCUGGUCUGAGAGGACGACCAGCCACACUGGGACUGAGACACGGCCCAGACUCCUACGGGAGGCAGCAGUGGGGAAUUUUGGACAAUGGGGGCAACCCUGAUCCAGCCAUGCCGCGUGCGGGAAGAAGGCCUUCGGGUUGUAAACCGCUUUUGUUCGGGAAGAAAUCCUCUGGGCUAAUACCCCGGGGGGAUGACGGUACCGGAAGAAUAAGCACCGGCUAACUACGUGA